UGGGGAAUAUUGGACAAUGGGCGGAAGCCUGAUCCAGCAACGCCGCGUGAGGGAUGACGGCCUUCGGGUUGUAAACCUCUUUCAGUACCGACGAAGCGAAAGUGACGGUAGGUACAGAAGAAGGACCGGCCAACUACGUGCCAGCAGCCGCGGUAAUACGUAGGGUCCGAGCGUUGUCCGGAAUUAUUGGGCGUAAAGGGCUCGUAGGCGGUUUGUCGCGUCGGGAGUGAAAACAGCGGGCUUAACUCGUUGCUUGCUUUCGAUACGGGGCAGACUAGAGGGUAUGCAGGGGAGAAUGGAAUUCCUGGUGUAGCGGUGAAAUGCGCAGAUAUCAGGAGGAACACCGGUGGGCGAAGGGCGGUUCUCUGGGCAUUACCUGACGCUGAGGAGCGAAAGUGUGGGGGAGCGAACAGGAUUNGAUAACCC
rnacentral:rRNA from 1 species